GCAUCUUCUUCUUCUGGCCUAAACUAGACUUCUCCUACAUGUUCUCCAUGUGAUCAUCUUUUCAACUUUUAAAGCUCAACUCAGUGAUCAAAUGAUCAGCAGGCAGACUGACCAGCUGAAGCUUAUCCACAGAGUCCCCUGACAGAGAGACAUUAUGGUGGGAAAAGGGCAUGAGGAGGUCAGAGUGCGAUGACACACUUUGUAAGAAGGGACAGGAUGAAAAAUGGACUUCUGAACCACUGCAAAUGGAUUAGAGGAAAACAAAACCAGUUUCAAGGUGGCCAUGCCUAGGACACGACAUUACUCUGCGUGGGGAUGUGACAGCGAGAACUAGAGGUAAGCUGAUGGAGACAGAGGAUAUUUAAGAGUUUUAAUUGAUUAGACUUGCUCACUGACUGUAU
rnacentral:lncRNA from 1 species